CUGUUCGUUCCAAUUGCCUAUUACUCUUUGUAAACAUAUUGUAAGUGUACCUGACAAUAGAGUACAGAAGCAUCCACGAGUUUAGUGCUUUUUAGGAUCAAUUGGAUAAAGUUGGUGAUGAAAAAAAAUCUCUGCGAGGAAAGAAAAUUUGGCCAAGGAAAAUCAGAUGUCAGGCACUGACCUAUUCAACAGCAAGAAACAGAACGUCUUCAGCUAGACUACACAUGUUGGGAGGAGGGGGAGGUCAAGUGAUGAUCUCACUGCAUAUGGACUCGUAUAAUUUGUCAGGCGGUUUCCAGAGUGUAGCUUCACUGGAUGAGGAUCAUCUUGUUCAGUAUUUGUUGAGAUGAUGUCCUAUUGAAAUUGGCCCAACCAGAGUGAAUUACACCUGACUUUUGAAUGGGGAACUUUGAGAGUUUGUUCGAUUUGCUUUUAGGUGCUAUCGUGGACACUUAGUUGAUGACAUUAAGAAG